rnacentral:rRNA from 1 species
CGGUAACAUUUCUAGCUUGCUAGAAGAUGACGAGCGGCGGACGGGUGAGUAAUGCUUGGGAACAUGCCUUUAGGUGGGGGACAACCAUUGGAAACGAUGGCUAAUACCGCAUAAUGUCUACGGACCAAAGGGGGCUUCGGCUCUCGCCUUUAGAUUGGCCCAAGUGGGAUUAGCUAGUUGGUGAGGUAAUGGCUCACCAAGGCGACGAUCCCUAGCUGGUUUGAGAGGAUGAUCAGCCACACUGGAACUGAGACACGGUCCAGACUCCUACGGGAGGCAGCAGUGGGGAAUAUUGCACAAUGGGCGCAAGCCUGAUGCAGCCAUGCCGCGUGUGUGAAGAAGGCCUUCGGGUUGUAAAGCACUUUCAGUUGUGAGGAAAGGUUAGUAGUUAAUACCUGCUAGCUGUGACGUUAGCAACAGAAGAAGCACCGGCUAACUCCGUGCCAGCAGCCGCGGUAAUACGGAGGGUGCGAGCGUUAAUCGGAAUUACUGGGCGUAAAGCGUACGCAGGCGGUUUGUUAAGCGAGAUGUGAAAGCCCCGGGCUCAACCUGGGAACUGCAUUUCGAACUGGCAAACUAGAGUGUGAUAGAGGGUGGUAGAAUUUCAGGUGUAGCGGUGAAAUGCGUAGAGAUCUGAAG